GGCUGCGGUAUUUUGACCGUGCAAAGGUAGCAUAAUCAUUAGUCUAUUAAUUGUUGACUUGUAUGAAUGGUUGGACGAGAUAUUGACUGUCUUGAAUUGUUUUUUAUAAUUUAAAUUUUGAGUUAAAAUGCUUAACUUUUUUUAAAGGACGAGAAGACCCUAUAGAUCUUUAUUAAUGGAUUUAUUUAUUAGUUUAGUUUAUUAUUUUUAAUUAUUUUUAUUGGUUUUGUUGGGGUGACAUGGGGAUAUAGUUAACUCUUUAUUAUUUUUUACAUUGAUUUUUGUAUUGAUUGACCUUUUAUUAUUGUUAUAAGAUUCAGAUACCUUAGGGAUAACAGCGUAAUUCUUUUUGAGAGUUCAUAUCGACAAGGGAGAUUGCGACCUCGAUGUUGGAUUAAGAUUAAUAUUAGGUGUAGGUGCUUAAUUAUUAGGUCUGUUCGACCUUUAAAUUCUUACAUGAUCUGAGUU
rnacentral:rRNA from 1 species